rnacentral:tRNA from 1 species
CGGGCCGUCGCUCAACGGCCGAGCACCUGUUUCUUAAACAGGCUCAUGCGGGUUCAAGUCCCGCCGGCCCGA